ACACCUGUGUCACACCUGUCUCACCUGUCUCACCUGUCUCACCUGUCUCACCUGUAUCUCACCUGUCUCACCUGUGCUGGAGCUCAAAGGGACCCUGGCCCAGGAGCUGUUACCUGUCACACCUGUCACACCUGUGUCACACCUGUCUCACCUGUAUCUCACCUGUGUCACACCUGUAUCUCACCUGUCUCACACCUGUCUCACCUGUCUCACACCUGUAUCUCACCUGUAUCACGCAGGAGCUCAAAGGGACCCUGGCCCAGGAGCUGUUACCUGUCACACCUGUCACACCUGUGUCACACCUGUCUCACCUGUAUCUCACUUGUCUCACCUGUAUCUCACCUGUCACAUCUGUCACACCUGUAUCUCACCUGUCUCACCUGUAUCUCACCUGUCACAUCUGUCACACCUGUAUCUCACCUGUCACACCUGUCACACCUGUGUCACACCUGUCACACCUGUCUCACCUGUCUCACACCUGUCACACCUGUCUCACCUGUCUCACACCUGUAUCUCACACCUGUAUCUCACCUGUGCAGGAGCUCAAAGGGACCCUGGCUCUGGAGCUGUUACCUGUCACACCUGUCACACCUGUGUCACACCUGUCACACUUGUCUCACCUGUAUCUCACCUGAUUCACACCUGUCUCACCUGUCUCUCACCUGUCUCACACCUGUCUCACCUGUCUCACCUGUCUCACCUGUGCAGGAGCUGAAAGGGGCCCUGGCGCAGGAGUUGGAUUUCGAGAACGAGGCGCGGAACUCGGAGCGCUGCGGGCGGGACCUGGAACACCUGAGGGGGGUGACGGUACCCAGAGUGCACUGGGAGCACUGCAGCAAGGUGAGACACACCUGGGCACACCUGGGGACACACCUGGGCACACCUGGGCACACACCUGGGGACACCUGGGGACACACCUGGGGACACCUGGGGACACUUGGGGACACACCUGGGCACACCUGGGGACACCUGGGGACACACCUGGGGGCACCUGAGAUACACCUGUACACACCAGGGCACACCUGUACACACCUGGGGACACCUGGGGACACACCUGGGGUACACCUGGGGAUACACCUGG
rnacentral:lncRNA from 1 species